GACGAACGCUGGCGGCGUGCUUAACACAUGCAAGUCGAACGGAAAGGCCCCUUUGGGGGUACUCGAGUGGCGAACGGGUGAGUAACACGUGAGUAACCUGCCCUUGACUUCGGGAUAACUUCAGUAAACUGGGGCUAAUACCGGAUAGGAAUCCUUGCUGCAUGGUGGGGGUUGGAAAGCUUCGGCGGUUUUGGAUGGACUCGCGGCUUAUCAGCUUGUUGGUGGGGUAGUGGCUUACCAAGGCUUUGACGGGUAGCCGGCCUGAGAGGGCGACCGGCCACAUUGGGACUGGGAUACGGCCCAGACUCCUACGGGAGGCAGCAGUGGGGAAUAUUGCACAAUGGGCGGAAGCCUGAUGCAGCAACGCCGCGUGCGGGAUGACGGCCUUCGGGUUGUAAAACGCUUUCAGCAGGGGCGAAGCUUGUGGUGACGGUACCUGCAGAAGAAGCACCGGCUAACUACGUG
rnacentral:rRNA from 1 species